rnacentral:rRNA from 1 species
UACAGAGGGGGCAAGCGUUAUUCGGAAUUAUUGGGCGUAAAGGGCGCGUAGGCGGCUUCGCAAGUGGAAGGUGAAAUCCCUCGGCUUAACCGAGGAACUGCCCUCCAAACUGCGUGGCUUGAGUCCGGGAGAGGUGAGUGGAAUUCCCAGUGUAGCGGUGAAAUGCGUAGAUAUUGGGAGGAACACCAGUGGCGAAGGCGGCUCACUGGACCGGAACUGACGCUGAGGCGCGAAAGCUAGGGGAGCAAACAGG